UCCUCAGUAGCUCAAUUGGCAGAGCAUCCGGCUGUUAACCGGAGGGUUGCUGGUUCGAGUCCAGCCUGAGGAG
rnacentral:tRNA from 1 species